GUGGGGAAUAUUGCACAAUGGGGGAAACCCUGAUGCAGCGACGCCGCGUGAGUGAAGAAGUAUUUCGGUAUGUAAAGCUCUAUCAGCAAGGAAGAAAAAAAUGACGGUACUUGACUAAGAAGCCCCGGCUAACUACGUGCCAGCAGCCGCGGUAAUACGUAGGGGGCAAGCGUUAUCCGGAUUUACUGGGUGUAAAGGGAGCGUAGACGGUCGUGUAAGUCUGAAGUGAAAUCCCCCGGCUCAACCGGGGAACUGCUUUGGAAACUAUACGACUAGAGUGCAGGAGAGGUAAGUGGAAUUCCUAGUGUAGCGGUGAAAUGCGUAGAUAUUAGGAGGAACACCAGUGGCGAAGGCGGCUUACUGGACUGUAACUGACGUUGAGGCUCGAAAGCGUGGGGAGCAAACAGG
rnacentral:rRNA from 1 species